UUCUCUGGCCAUUUCAUUCAUGAAAGUAUUUUGCCCAUUGUGGAGCUUACUUCAAGGCUGGACACAGCAAGAACUCUGCCCAUAUUGCAGGCAGUAUUUCUAGUGUCUGUGAUCUGUUAAGUGGAAUAAGAGAAUGCAGUGUGUAUCUUUUUCAAAGGACCUAUUUGGUGUUACACUGUGUCUGUAAUCAUACGGGUCAUGAUUCAGCAUGAAAUUAUCCAUCUUUGUGCAGAGAAACAGCCCCAGGAUUAGGCAUGUGCCUGACUAUCCUGCUAAUUUGUUUUAAACCACUGAUGUGAAAGGUGCACAUGGGAGCAGAGAGGUGCAAAAGUUUUCAUUUCGGUUUGCUAGCACAUAUCCUAUGCAUGGACAAUAACAAACUUAUGCUUUAGAGAAACAGAAAAUCACCCUCCAAAUGCCUCCUUGUAUAAGAGAGCUGCUCCAUUUUGCAGUAGAGCCAAAAUGUAAUCUACGUUCUUUGCAGGUAAGGAUGAAUAUCAGUCAGGAACAAAAGAACAUGUGAAAAAAGUAUGCUAGGCAAUUUUUACAAAGAAUUUCUUUUUUUUUUAUGUUGGUCUGGGGAUCAUCAGGAUUGGACCUUAGAACCAGCAACCUCCAACAGACUGCAAUGGCUCUGCCUUUAAUACAUUUCCACCUCUGUGUGUUAUGCAGCCGUAAUACUGAAGACAUGAGACAGACAGCUGCCCUGAGGCAUUCUCCGUAAAAACUUUCAUAUCACCGCGGAACUGAAUGUACCAUUAUAACACCAUGUCUCCUCUUCUUCAUGUGGGGACUAUCCUUACUGUGGUGGAAUCUGCUUUGGCAGGCAUGCCCAGAUAUCUUCACUUAUAGUCUUCAUCUUGAGGGCAAUCCUAGAGAAGAAUUGUUCUGCUGGUGACAACCGCCCAGUCAGUGAAGAGAGACUCCUAUUUUCCUUUGUGGUUGUGGUAUCCUCAUAACUGAGACCUGAGUAGUGCAAAUGAAAGGAAUUUGCUGGACUGAUGAACCAACGUUUUCCUCUGGGUCUUGGUCUCCAUGUCCACUCCCUGCCACAACAGCUGGGAUUCGCUGAAGGAACAUGAUGGGUCAGGAGGAGGAGGGGAAGCGAGGACAGCCAUCUCCAAAAUGCAGUGGAUGUGCCUCUCCGGCUCUACACUGGUUGUACUCAGGCAGGUACAAGCUGACGGGAAUCAGCAGUGGCAGCCAUGCGAACGAGGUCAGAGUUGGUUCCUCCGUGGCUUUCUUAUUCUUCCGAGCACUCUGAAAAUGCGGGUGUGCAUGUUAAAACUGCCCUAUGAGACAGCUCUGACAUGUGGGGCUGCCUGGCACAAACACAGCACAUAAUAACGCGAAUUAUUUGGCAGCGUUACAGGGCUAAUCUUUACGUAACUGUUCCUGAACAACUUCUCUAAUGCACUGAGCACAAACAAGCUUUCUAUCAGCCUUCAACUGCAUGCAGAUUGCCUUGUGUCACCUGCUUCUCUGCUGAGCAAAUACUGUCUGUGGCCAUGGCAAGGAAAACCUUCUUUUGCAUUCGUAACUGUCUCUCCCUAAAUUUCUUCCUUGUUUUCCAAGGCUGUUCAUAAACCAGAGGCAUGUUUGUCAAGAACAACCCCUUUUAUAUAAUUUCUCCUCUUAAGCUCAGAUGUAUGCAGGGAAUUACAUUGUGGAUUGUUUUCAGGAGAGCAAUGGGAAAACAGGAUCUGAUUUUUCAAUUGUUGUUCCCCUGUUGACUAAAGUCAUAGGAGGAGGGAUGUCUUUUAUAGUUAAGACACUGGUGUGGGACUUCAGGGACCUGAGACUGGAAUAAUAAUGUUUCAAUCCUUCUACCCUUUGCCCCUGUUGUUAGAUUUCAAUGUUAGCUCUUUACGAUUAUCUCCUACGGUUUUGUUUUGUUGCCUGGUUCCAUGGGGCCUGGUGUCCAUUAAGGCUUUUGUGCUGCAGAGAGCAGCACCAGGGCACGUACAGACAAUAACAAAAUCAGGAAAAGAAAAUAAAGACUAGGAGUUUCCCAAGAACCUUUGAUCAGUGCUGAUAAUGGG